CGCCAUAUUAUUUUGACCCCGAAAAUGGCGCAUCAGGCCAAAAUCCUUUCCACGCCCACCCCCGUGACAUCACGCUCCAAUGCCCUAUGGUAACUAAUGUUAUAAAAAUGUUCCGCCCCUAAUGAGCAUUUGAGCAGCCAAUCAGAAUCAUCUAUGUCAUGUGAUCAUGAGUACAGCAGCGGAUUGUUCUAGUGAGAGUUUCGAAGCACCAUGGAUGAUGAAUUUGAAGGUACCAGCUCUCAGAUGGUGAUCUUUUCUAAAAGCGAUAGGACAGGUGUGGAGGAGAGUGAAGCAAGAGAAUGGGUUCCUAAGUCUGUGAGCUCAUCUGAAGAUGAUGGGACAGAUGACUGGAAACCCACACAGGAUGAAUCUGAAGGCUAUUCAGAAGAGGAGGAAGAACAAGAACGUAAAAGGAUUCCUAAGAUGGUGGCAGCAUCUGAAGAGGAUGGGACACAUGAUAGCAGACCCACACAAGAUGAAUCUAAAGAUGAUUCAAAGGAUGAAGCAGAACAUUUGGGACAAAUGAUUCACAAAGUGGCCAUGGAAAAGAUGCAGCAGGCCUAUGUAAGCCAAGACAAAGCAAUGACUGUGAAUAAGAGUUCAGAAAAAAGGGUGAUUCACCAAACCAGAUGCUUGAAGAGGCUCACUUUUCAUCAGUCAACUCUCUUUGAAGACACGAUACCAAGAUCUGAUAACAACAAGAAAGACCAAAGUGGAAUGUCAUCUGCAGCAAUAAUAACCUCAGAACAACUGGAGGAGAAAGAGAUACAAGAAGAGUCUCUGGAGAAGAUGAAGAGUGAAGACAAAGAAGGGAAGAGAAAAGAAAAAGUACAGCAGGAGCCUCUGGAGAAGAUGAGCGGCAAAAGGCAAAGGAAGGAAGAAAAGAUACAGGCAGAGCCUCUGGAGAAGAUGAGCGGCAAAAGGCAAAGGAAGGAAGAAAAGAUACAGGCAGAGCCUCUGGAGAAGAUGAGCGGCAAAAGGCAAAGGAAGGAAGAAAAGAUACAGGCAGAGCCUCUGGAGAAGAUGAAGAGUGAAGCCAAAGUAGGAAAGAGAAAAGAAAAAGUACAGCAGGAGCCUCUGGAGAAGAUGAGCGGCAAAAGGCAAAGGAAGGAAGAAAAGAUACAGGCAGAGCCUCUGGAGAAGAUGAGCGGCAAAAGGCAAAGGAAGGAAGAAAAGAUACAGGCAGAGCCUCUGGAGAAGAUGAGCGGCAAAAGGCAAAGGAAGGAAGAAAAGAUACAGGCAGAGCCUCUGGAGAAGAUGAGCGGCAAAAGGCAAAGGAAGGAAGAAAAGAUACAGGCAGAGCCUCUGGAGAAGAUGAAGAGUGAAGCCAAAGUAGGAAAGAGAAAAGAAAAAGUACAGCAGGAGCCUCAGGAGAAGAUGAGUGAAGGGGGAAAGGACUCUGAAAAUAAGGUGCAAUUUAUUCCAUUGCUCCCAGUAAGCCCAAGAAAUGCCUUAUUUGAGGGCUUUUGCAUUGUAUUUGUUUUUGAAGAUUCCACUUUUUUUAUUACAUAAAAGAGUUGUUAAUAAAAAGUGAUCAUCUAAUACUGUGUCCAAUGAGUUACUGUCACGUUUAUUUUCUGGAAUCACUGGUGCUCUCAGACUUGACAUUAUAUAAUUCCACCAUAUGUGAGAUCAGUCAAAUUAAGAAAGGAGACAUGCUUCUUGAAGAAGUAAAAGUCAAAGCUUAAGAUAUAAUGUCAGUAUGUAAAUGUUGAAGUUUUGGGGUAUGUUGUACUAUACAGUCAAACCAUUUGAUGCCAUUUGGUCCUAUAUCUACACAAGUUUCAGUUGUAAAAUCAUAAGGCUAAUAAGUUCACAUAAACUUCAUAACUUAAUCAGAAUGUACAUAGAGGUCCUACCACUGGGGGAAAGACCAAGCACCACAAUCUACCACAUUUUCUGAACCACUUGCUCUCAUCCACAUAGGGAGCCGCAUUGAACUUGUUAAUCUAAUAAAAGAAAAAGUGACCUCAAUUUUGCAGCGGUUUGUUCUCCCCCCUGCCUGACUUUAAAUGGUAAAUGGCCUGCAUUUGUAUAGCGCUUUUCUAGUCCUUAAGGACCCCAAAGUGCUUUACACUACAUUCAGUCAUUCACACACUGGCGAUAGC
ensembl:lncRNA